rnacentral:lncRNA from 1 species
AUCAAAAGAAAAGGAAUGUCUUCUGGAAAUGACUUUGAGAUGGAAUUGUUUGACCACCUCUGAAGUGACAUCAGGAGAGACAGAGAUCCACGUUUGUUCAGUGGGUUAGAGGACAUGGAGUGGAAGAUUUCGAGGAAGAAGAAGGUUCUGUGCCAGACUCGUCAUACUUAGAAGACAUUUGCAUAUUAUAACCAUUGUUUUGUGUGUGCAUUUUAUUCCUCACUUCUAUAUAUAGUUGACAAUAAGUACUUUUUGGAAAUAUCUAGGCUUUCUAGAUUUUCUGAAGUGCCUGACAUAUGUUAAAAGUAGAGGUAGUAAAAAGACAUCUUUUUGUGUAUGAUAGAAAUAUCUUUUUGUUAAAACUCAUAUGAAAUAUUGUUUAUUUGGGGGGAGGGGGGUUGGCCAAACCACCUCUUUGAAUAGUGCAUUGUGUUUGUGCACUGGUUCAAGGUCGGGGGAGGAGAAGGAAGUGCAAAGAGCUCUUUGCUAGUGUUUAUAGCAAGGCAAGGUUAACCAUUGUUCUUUUUACGUGCAUUUCGUUUCACUUUGUGUGUAUAUAGUGUACAUAACGGACAAAUGAGUCCUAAUUUACAACAUCUGGUCCUUCUAGAUGUUAAAGAGGUUGCCAGUGUAUGAUAGAAAUAGAGAUAGUAAACUAAUACCAUCCUAUACAUUUUGUGUCCUGAAAAUGUGAGCAUUAUAGCCCUCUGGGUUGGUAGAGGGGGGAGAGAAGAGAAGGGGGGUGGUCUUAUGCUAGAAUGCUCACAUUUGGAAGACACUUUCAGAUUAUAACUGUUACAUGUCGCAGUUUAUUGAGACUGCUCUGUAUAUAGUGGACAAAUUAAGUCCUUAUUUGAAACAUCUAGUCCACCUAGAUGUUUAGAAGUGCCCGACGUAUGUUAAAUGUAGAGGUAGUAAAAUAUCACUUUGUAAAUAGCUUUUAGCUAAAAUUCAUAGGAAAUAUUGUCUUUUGAAAAUGGAAUUGUUAAACCACCUCUGUGACCAGUAGUUUGGAGUAGGUGAGAAGGAAAGAAUUGCAAAAGGUAAUAUGCUAGUGUGUUUGGACAUUUUCAGACAAAACCAUUUUUUGUAUGUUAGGUGCAUUUUGCCUUUCUGUGUAUAUAGUGUAUAUAAUGGACAAAUGAGUCCUAAUUUUGCAACAUCUAGUCUCUAGAUGUUAAAGAGGUUGCCAGUGUAUGACAAAAUAGUAAGAUUUACAUAUUUUGUACACUUUGUGCCAAAAUGGUCAUAUUUAGAAGAUACCUCAGAUUAUAACCAUUGUUACACGUGUGCAAUUUUAUUUAACAGUGCUGUGUACUUAGUGAACAAGUAAGUUCUUAUAUGAAAUAUCUAGUCUUGCUGGGUAUUUAGAAGUGCUUGAUGUAUUUAAAAGUAGUAGUAGUAAAAUAAUGCUUCUUGUAAAUAGCUUUUAAAAACAUGGGAAAUGCUGUCUUUGGAAAUGGAAUUGUUAAACCUCCUCUGACCAGUAUACUCUGCUCAUUCAUUGGGUUGAUGGAAGUGGGAGGGAAGAUUGCAAAAACAUGUUUUGCUAGUGUGUACUAAAAAAUUUCACCUUAUUGGUUGCUCUAUGUUACAUGCAUUUUGUUUAACUUUACUGUAUAUAUUAUGUAUAUACUGGACAAAUGGGUUCCAAUUUUAUAAUAUCUAGUCUCUAGAUAUUAAAAAGAGGUUGCCAAUGUAUGACAAAAGUAGAGUUAGUAAACUAACACAUUUUGUACACUUGUGUUAAAUUCCAUUGAAAGGCUGUCUUCUGAAAAGGACCUUUGGAAAUAAAAUUGUAAAUCACAUCUAAGUGACACAUGUGCCUGAACUCAGCCACUGUUGGAUGGACAGUGGGAAGGAAGAGUUAGGAGCAAUGAAGCAUUCUAAUAAGCUAGAAUGUUUCUGUGUAGAAGACACUUUCAUAUAUAACCAUUUUUACAUGUGUGUGGUUUAUUCAACACUACUGUGUAUAUAUAGUGGACAAACUUAAGUCCUUAUUUGAAACAUCUAGUCUUUCUAGAUGUUUAGAAGUGCACAAAGUAUGUUAAAAGUAGAGGUAGUGAAAUAACAUUUUGUAGAUAUCUUUUUGUUAAAAUUCAUAUGAAAUAUUGCCUUUUAGAAAUGGAAUAAUCAAACCACCUCUUUGAGCAGUGCACAUUAUUUUAUUUGUGCUGGUUCAAGGAGGAAGAAAAAAGUACAAAGGGCUUUAUACCAAUAUGUUUAUAGUUAGGAGAGAUUAACCAUCGUCCUGUAUGUCUGUGUUUUGCUUUACUUAGUUGUGUAUAUAGUGUACAUAAAGGACAGAUGUCCAAAUUUACAUCUAGUCUUCCUAGAUGUUAAAGAGGUUGCCAAUGUAUGACAAAAGUAGUUAGAAAAUAAAUACAUUGUGAAUACUUUGUUAAAAUUCAUACGAAAAAUUGUUCUGAAAGCAACUGGAGGAGAUGAAAUUGUUAGAAUCCCCUCUAAGCAUUUCAGAUGCUUUAUUACACUUGCUUACUAGGUUGAUAGAGAUGAGAAGGGGAAGGGUUCUAGGCCCGUGUUCCUGUUUAGAAGACACUUUGAGAUUAUAGCCUUUGUGUGCAGUUUAUUCAAUACUACAUGUAUGUAUAGUAAACUAAAAUCCUUAUUUGAAACAUCUAGUCUUUCUAGAUGUUUAAAAGUGUACAACAUAUGCUAAAAGUAGAUAAUUAACACCUUUUAAGAUUUUUUUCUGUUAAUUCAUAGGAAUGGUCAUAUUUGGGGAAUGGGAUUGUUAAACUUGAGCCUUGGAGAGUAUGCUGACUGAUGACUGGGGUGGUGGGGGUUGGGGGGGACAGGGAAGGAAGCUCAGAGAAGGGUUCUGUGCUCAUGAGUCUUUAGAAAGCUUCAGAUUUUCUAACCAUUGUUCUGUUUGUGUGUUUGAGUUAAUAUUGCUGUGUAUUAAAGAAUAAACAAGUCCCAGUGUCCAAAGUAUAUUGAAAGUAGAAGUAGUAAAAUAAUUCCUUUAUAAAUGCCCUUUUGUGGGUUUUUAGGAAGGGCUAUGACUUCUGGGAGUGUCUAUGUUAAUCCACCUUUUGUAGCUAGAUGUAGUCCUGUAGUUAGUCACUGAAAUGCUGGAAGAGGGUUAAGAGGAAGGGUGAAGGGAAGGGCUCUUGGCUAUUAUCUCCAUAUCUAGACAGUUUUAGUUUAUAACCAUAGGUCUAUAUGUGCAUUUUUGUAAAGUUUCUGUUUAUUGUGGACAAGGUUCAUUCUUUAUCUUGCAACAUCUAUGUCUCAAGAUAACAUAUGAUAAAAAGUAGAGUUAGUGAGUUAACUAAUUUGUAAAUAAAUAUCUUUGUUACAAUGAUAUAAAACAGCAUCUUGGACAUGAAUUGUUAAAGUCUCAGAAAUGUAUGUCAGGACUUGUUCACUAGGUUGGCAGCAGAGGGGCAGAAGGAAAGUAUAAAGGGAGGGUUGUAUGCGAAUGUGUUCAUAUUUAUAUUUUGGUGAUAACCAUUGAUGUGGGUGCAUCUUUUGGCUGUAAUAUAAGCAAUUCAGUGGAAACAUACCUCCUUGCUAAUAUUUUAAUAGUUUGGAUAAUUAGUCCUCUUAGAGGCAUUAUACUUUAUGUACUCUGUUGCUUUAUGUGUCAUUUUUAAUUGAACAUAAGGGAAUGUAGUAUUUUAAUCAUAACUCUACCAAUAUCUUUAUCUUGAAGCCUGUUGCUAUUUUUGUCUUUUAUGUAAUUUUAUCGCUAAGAAAGGCAGGAUUACAUUUUUUUUCCUUCCAGAUCGAGUUGGUGUAGUAUAUUCUUGGUUAUCAAAAUAAAAUACUCAUAUAGCUUUGGGACUUUGAAAUGGUAAAUAUUCAUGAUGUGUGAAAAAGCAUGAUACAUAACUAUGAUCUUAAUUACAUAAAAAUGGAUGCUUCAUUGUGUAGAUACACAAACGAAAUCUAGAAGGACAUAUCAACCUGUAAACUGCUUGAUUAUGGAUGACUUUGUUUUUUGCUUCCUAUUUGCUUGUGUUUUUCAGUUUCCUAUUAUGCACAUGUUAACUUUUAAGAAAUAAAUUUU